AGCUGUCCGCUGCGUUCGCGUGAGUUCUAUAUUUCCUUGAACCGAUGCUCUCUGAGCAAGGGCUUGGAACAUUGCUCGGCUGGUGUGAUCGUCUCGCGUCAGAUGAACCCGAAGUCCUGCUGACCUCGCCCACCUGAAUCCCUGGGUUCAGGAAUGCGGCUCACGGCUCGCGGUGGACACCUU
rnacentral:other from 1 species